rnacentral:rRNA from 1 species
AUACGGAGGAUCCGAGCGUUAUCCGGAUUUAUUGGGUUUAAAGGGUGCGUAGGCGGACUAGUAAGUCAGUGGUGAAAUCCUGCAGCUUAACUGUAGAAUUGCCGUUGAUACUGUUAGUCUUGAGUACAUUUGAGGUAGGCGGAAUGUGGUGUGUAGCGGUGAAAUGCAUAGAUAUACCACAGAACACCGAUUGCGAAGGCAGCUUACUAAACUGUAACUGACGCUGAGGCACGAAAGCGUGGGUAUCAAACAGGAUUAGAUACCCUGGUAGUCCACGCUGUAAACGAUGAUUACUGGUUGUUUGCGAUACAUUGCAAGUGACUGAGCGAAAGCAUUAAGUAAUCCACCUGGGGAGUACGUCGGCAACGAUGAAACUUAAAGGAAUUGGCGGGG